UGGGGGAUAUUGCACAAUGGGCGAAAGCCUGAUGCAGCGACGCCGCGUGGGGGAUGAAGGCUUUCGGGUUGUAAACCUCUUUCGCUAUCGAACAAGGCCCGCUUAGGGUGGGUUGAGGGUAGGUGGAGAAGAAGCGCCGGCUAACUACGUGCCAGCAGCCGCGGUAAUACGUAGGGCGCGAGCGUUGUACGGCAUUAUUGGGCGUAACGGGCUUGUAGGCGGCUUGUUGCGCCUGCUGUGAAAACGCGGGGCUUAACUUCGCGCGUGCAGUGGGUACGGGCAGGCUUGAGUGUGGUAGGGGUGACUGGAAUUCCAGGUGUAGCGGUGGAAUGCGCAGAUAUCUGGAGGAACACCGAUGGCGAAGGCAGGUCACUGGGCCAUUACUGACGCUGAGGAGCGAAAGCAUGGGUAGCGAACAGG
rnacentral:rRNA from 1 species